rnacentral:rRNA from 1 species
UUGAACGCUGGCGGCAGGCCUAACACAUGCAAGUCGCACGGUAACAGGAAGAAGCUUGCUUCUUUGCUGACGAGUGGCGGACGGGUGAGUAAUGUCUGGGAAACUGCCUGAUGGAGGAGGAUAACUACUGGAAACGGUAGCUAAUACCGCAUAACGUCGCAAGACCAAAGAGGGGGACCUUCGGGCCUCUUGCCAUCGGAUGUGCCCAGAUGGGAUUAGCUAGUAGGUGGGGUAACGGCUCACCUAGGCGACGAUCCCUAGCUGGUCUGAGAGGAUGACCAGCCACACUGGAACUGAGACACGGUCCAGACUCCUACGGGAGGCAGCAGUGGGGAAUAUUGCACAAUGGGCGCAAGCCUGAUGCAGCCAUGCCGCGUGUAUGAAGAAGGCCUUCGGGUUGUAAAGUACUUUCAGCGGGGAGGAAGGGAGUAAAGUUAAUACCUUUGCUCAUUGACGUUACCCGCAGAAGAAGCACCGGCUAACUCCGUG